AUGCCUCUUCUUAAUUUUGCAUUUUAUAGCAUAAACACUCCUUUUCAUUUAUGCAGCUGUUGCAAAACAAUCCAUUGUAUAUACAGAGCUUCACAGAGGCCGAUGAUGCUCUCAAGAUUCACCAUAUCGUCCAUUGCUUGCUCGAUGUGGUUGAUGAGUGAGGUGUGUUUGCUACGCGAUCAUGCUCAUUUCAACUUGGGGGUUGAUUCUAUAAUUUUGAGCUUUGAUAGAAUCAUGUUUAUUUGUCCUUGUGAUGUGUGA